rnacentral:SRP_RNA from 1 species
ACUGGGAGUGGCGGCGAACUCCUGUAAUUCAGCUUCUUUGAAAGUCGGUUUACGUGGAUGAUUUGAGGUGGGGAGCACUGCGACGGUCGGUUCCGCGUUGAACGGACAUCCGCGCUAAGCUUGUCGUCAAUAUGGGCUCCGUGGGGUAGCCUUCGGAGUCCAGGUUGGCUAAGGAGAGGCGAACCGGGCCAGAGGGGAAACCCAGCAGCCAAAAGUCUCCGCGGUGAGCAGUAGCGGGACAUUGCCUGCGAGCAGAGCUCCCGUGCGCAGCCCCACCAAUACAAUCAGACCGUAAGCCAA